AAAAAUGCCUUAUGCCUGCCACUCCUCCCUCAAGGCAUUCUGGAGUUGAACAACCGUGUUCUCUAUCAGGAUGCAAGCGUGAACAUGAUGAUCUAGAAU